UCUGGUGCCUUUCCCUCAGCUGGAAAACAUGCCUCAGUGUACCUUCUGCUCCAGUUGGAGCCCGUUGAAGAUCUACGUUGGGAGGAGCAGGAAAUCUGGCCACUUUAACCUAAGGUCUCCUCAGCACCAGACCCUCCUUGGCUGCCUUCUUCUAUUCUGAGGAAUGACUGUCACAGAAGUUACCUCAUCUGAAAAGCUGGUGCAGGUAGAGUGAAGAAUGUCCUAGUGUUGCAGUAGUUGAGGCGGAGAAUGCUGCCCAAGUAAAGCCUCAGAGAAGAGGAGAAUCCCAGAAGAGAUUGUACUUCCAUUUCCCAAAACCC